rnacentral:rRNA from 1 species
GAUGAACGCUAGCGGCAGGCCUAAUACAUGCAAGCUGAACGGUAAAUGUUGUAGCAAUACAAUAUGAGAGUAGCGUAAGGGUGCGUAACACGUAUGCAAUUUACCCGCAACAGGAGGAUAGCUCCCCGAAAGGGGAAUUAAUACUCCAUAAUAUCACGAGAGGGCAUCUGAUUGUGAUUAAACUCCAAGGGGUUGCGGAUGAGCAUGCGUCUGAUUAGUUAGUUGGUGAGGUAACGGCUCACCAAGACGAUGAUCAGUAGGGGAACUGAGAGGUUGAUCCCCCACACUGGCACUGAGAUACGGGCCAGACUCCUACGGGAGGCAGCAGUAGGGAAUAUUGGUCAAUGGGUGAGAGCCUGAACCAGCCAUGCCGCGUGCAGGAAGACGGCCUUCUGGGUUGUAAACUGCUUUUAUCUGGGGAUAAAAUAUCCUUGCGAGGAGAAUUGAAGGUACCAGAGGAAUAAGCCACGGCUAACUACGUGCCAGCCGCCGCCGUAA